UGACCUCGGAUCAGGUAGGGAUACCCGCUGAACUUAAGCAUAUCAAUAAGCGGAGGAAAAGAAACCAACCGGGAUUGCCUCAGUAACGGCGAGUGAAGCGGCAAGAGCUCAAAUUUGAAAGCUGGCUCCUUCGGAGUCCGCAUUGUAAUUUGCAGAGGAUGCUUUGGGUGCGGCCCCCGUCUAAGUGCCCUGGAACGGGCCGUCAGAGAGGGUGAGAAUCCCGUCUUGGGCGGGGUGUCCGUGCCCGUGUAAAGCUCCUUCGACGAGUCGAGUUGUUUGGGAAUGCAGCUCUAAAUGGGUGGUAAAUUUCAUCUAAAGCUAAAUACUGGCCGGAGACCGAUAGCGCACAAGUAGAGUGAUCGAAAGAUGAAAAGCACUUUGAAAAGAGAGUUAAACAGCACGUGAAAUUGUUGAAAGGGAAGCGCUUGCAACCAGACUCGCCCGCGGGGUUCAGCCGGCAUUCGUGCCGGUGUACUUCCCCGUGGGCGGGCCAGCGUCGGUUUGGGCGGCCGGUCAAAGGCCCCUGGAAUGUAGUGCCCUCCGGGGCACCUUAUAGCCAGGGGUGCAAUGCGGCCAGCCUAGACCGAGGAACGCGCUUCGGCUCGGACGCUGGCAUAAUGGUUGUAAACGACCCGUCUUGAAACACGGACCAAGGGAGUCUAACAUCUACGCGAGUGUUCGGGUGUCAAACCCGUGCGCGCAGUGAAAGCGAACGGAGUGGGAGCCCCCUCGUGGGG
rnacentral:ncRNA from 1 species